AGGGGAGGCAAAAUAUUGAAGGCUCAUUAGCGGGUUCUGCUUAUAAGAUAAUAAAAUUGAAGACAUAAAAAUCUAAAUAAAGUCAGUGGGGACAAAUACUAUUUUCAUCAUUUUUUCCUUUUUUCAGGUACUGGAGAACUGUUUGCUGGAGGGGGUUAGACGUUUAUUCUCAUUAGAUUCAGGACCUCAAAUGAACUAACGUCAUGACGAGAGGCAGACUCCAGACAUCAUAUCGGCUCUUGAUAGGACCUGUCUGGCCCACAAAAGAGAAAGGAUAUGGGUGAAGAUUAGAGAGGCGGGGUUGGCAGACCUCAGCUACUACAGCGUCAGCGUGACCCGGCACAAGAGAAUUCCCUUCAUCUCCUCCAUCUAAAACACUCACCACACACGCCGCUACCUGGUAGAGCCAUCUGUUUUGAUUGGUCAAAAGCUGCACUUUACAGUAAUGUAUCAGUUUAACUCCACAGAGUGUGAUAGCCAAGGGCAACAGUUAUUUUUGAACUUCAGUCAGUAGAACUUUCUGUGCUCAAAAUC
rnacentral:lncRNA from 1 species